ensembl:lncRNA
GUGAGCAAUGUGCUGCAAUGGAGUGAGCAAUGCAUGCUGUGGUGGGUGCGCAUCGUGCUGGGAAAAUGAUGCCGUUAUCAGACUUUAAUUCAGAACUGAAUGGAUGUGUUGAUACAGGAGGUGUUCUGGGCAUGAUGCCUGUUCGAUGGCAUGAGGAAAUGGCACCGACUCAGGUCUGAGCAUUCACUCCAAGCUGCAGCACAGCCUCAGGGUUUGAUAAGCUGCGUGCUGCUGCUGAGCCUUCCAAGGAGCUCACCAACAAGAGCGUCGAUUACAGUGCAUGCAAAGAAACCACCUGCGAUCUGAGGCCAGCAGCACAUGUGAAAGGUCUGUAAUGAUGGAAGCAACCUCUGGGCAAAGUACAAAAGGAGAUAAUGAAGCAUAUCGGUCACAAGAUGGGGCAGGCGUGCACUUUUAAGGGGUUUCUUCAGGUCGAUUGUGGAAGCUGCUUGCUCUCAGCACAACUACAACCAUGGACAGCUUGUGGGCAACUCCUUUCGUAGCCAGCAUGGAAACAGAACCUGAUGAAUAAUGGGAAUCAGUGUGAUACGUCUGUGGGCUUUGCACCCAGCAGGAAAUGCUACUGCUGAGUCAUCACUCACCCCUUAGCAGCAUGCAUGUGGGCAGCCCAGCCUGUACUUUCUGCUGAAAUGGAGCGAGAGGGAGCUGGAGCUGUCUGUGUUUUAGAAUCACAGAAUCAUUAAGGUUGGAAAAGACCUCUGAGAUCCCCAACCUCAGCUCACCCCACCACGCACAGUGCCUACAUCCCUCAGUGCCACAUCCCCACGGUUCUGGAGUACCCCCAGGGACAGUGACCCCACUGCUCCCUGAGCUGUGCCAGUGUCUGACAGCACUUUCAGAGAAGAAAUUUUUCCUGAUUUCCAACCUGAAGCUCCCCUGACACAAC